rnacentral:sRNA from 2 species
UCUUUUUGAAACAUAUCACGAAACUGGAUAUGUUUUGUCUGCCCGCGCCAUCCACCCCGGCGCGGGCAUUUUU